rnacentral:rRNA from 1 species
GAACCGUACGAACGUUAUUCGGAAUUACUGGGCUUAAAGGGUGCGUAGGCUGCACGGAAAGUUGGGUGUGAAAGCCCUCAGCUCAACUGAGGAAUUGCAUCCAAAACUGCCGUGCUUGCGGGAGACAGAGGUGAGCGGAACUCAAGGUGGAGCGGUGAAAUGCGUUGAUAUCUUGAGGAACACCGGUGGCGAAAGCGGCUCACUGGGUCUCUUCUGACGCUGAGGCACGAAAGCUAAGGUAGCAAACGGGAUUAGAUACCCCGGUAGUCUUAGCUGUAAACGAUGAGCACUUGAUUGGAGGGUCCUCCAUAGCCUUCCAGUCGUAGCGAAAGUGUUAAGUGCUCCGCCUGGGAGUAUGGUCGCAGGCUG